AUGGACUUAGGGCUCAUAUUGGUUUUCUUUGUCCUUAUUUUAGAAGGUAUCCAGUGUGAUGUGCAGUUGUUGGAGUCUGGUGGAGGCUUCGUGCAGCCUGGAAAGUCCCUGAAACUCACCUGUGCAGCCUCUGGAUUCAUCUUCAGUAGUUACCCAAUGAAUUGGGUCCGCCAGGCUCCAGGGAAGGGGUUGGAGUGGGUCGCAUACAUUAGAAGUAAUGUAUACUAUACUGAUGCUGUGAAGGGUCGGUUCACAAUCUCCAGAGACAGUGCCAAGAACACUUUGUACCUGGAAAUGAGCAGUCUGAGGUCAGAGGACACAGCCAUGUAUUACUGUGAGCAGCGAGGCUGGGAUUCUUGGUUUGACUUCAAGCUCUGGGCCUCCCUUACCCUGAGAAAGCCUCUGAAGACAUUCCAGUUCCCAUUCUUCUUUAAGAUCCUAGUGACUCUCAAAGCACCAGAGUCAGAGAACACAGCUGAACAGGCCCUGUCUGCCUCUUUACUGUGUGUGGGGUUGAACAUGAGUAGUAAGAUUCCAGCACAUGCUGUUGUUCAACUACACAGUAGUCUUGAAAAGAUCAUGGAGUCCAGACACAGAAUAGGAGUCACCAGCUGA